GAUCGUGUCAGGAUGAACGCUAGCGACAGGCUUAACACAUGCAAGUCGAGGGGCAGCAUAAAAGUAGCAAUACUUGGUGGCGACCGGCGCACGGGUGAGUAACGCGUAUGCAACCUACCUAUCAGAGGGGAAUAACCCGGCGAAAGUCGGACUAAUACCGCAUAAAACAGGGGCACCGCAUGGUGAUAUUUGUUAAAGAAAUUCGCUGAUAGAUGGGCAUGCGUUCCAUUAGGUAGUUGGUGAGGUAACGGCUCACCAAGCCGACGAUGGAUAGGGGAACUGAGAGGUUGGUCCCCCACACUGGUACUGAGACACGGACCAGACUCCUACGGGAGGCAGCAGUGAGGAAUAUUGGUCAAUGGGCGAGAGCCUGAACCAGCCAAGUCGCGUGAAAGGAAGAAGGAUCUAUGGUUCGUAAACUUCUUUUGCAGGGGAAUAAAGUGCAGGACGUGUCCUGUUUUGUAUGUACCCUGAGAAUAAGGAUCGGCUAACUCCGUGCCAGCCGCUGC
rnacentral:rRNA from 1 species